CCAGGACCAAGGUCAGCAGCAGGCGCGAAAAUUAUCGAAGCCCGCCCAGGGGCGAUAGUGAGGAGACGUGUAUACGAAGUACGUGUAAAGACCGUACUAAUAACUGGAGGUCAAGUCUGGUGCCAGCAUCCGCGGUAAUUCCAGCUCCAGGGGUGUCUAUGAUGAUUGCUGCGAUUAAAAAGUCCGUAGUCGAGCUGACUGACUGACCUGCAAUGUGAUUGAUUAAAAGACGAGCAGGGUUAGGAAAGCAGAGAAUUAGGAGCGACCGAGGGCUAGAGUAUUGAAUGGCGAGAGGUGAAAUUUGAUGACCCAUUCAGGAGUGACAAAGGCGAAGGCACUAGUCAAGGGCGAAUCCGAUGAUCAAGGACGUAGGCUAGAGUUUCGAAAACGAUUAGAGACCGGAGUAGUUCUAGCAGUAAACUAUGCCGACACCGUGGUAUUAAAUUUUAGUAUUGCGGAAGAGAAAUCAAGUAAGGCUUUGGGGAGAGUACGCGCGCAAGCGAUAAAUU
rnacentral:rRNA from 1 species